UGUAGAUGAUAUCUUUUGAAGUAUUAAAAAAUUAAAAGUAAAUAUUUAUGACCUACUAGUUUUCAAUUUAUCUUGUAUAACCUUCGCAAAACUUCUUCAGUUGCAAUCACCUCCCCGGUUAAUGAGUGGUAACCAAUUCCCGUCUCUUUUAUCAACUUAGCGAAAUCUCAUUUCCAAGUCCUCAAUUAGUUGAACUUGUUUCUAAGUUGUACAUCCGUAUAGUUUUUGUGAGGAUCUGUGCGGGCGUAUGUUUAGUCCCACAUCGGUUAUUCGCUGGGUAGAUCUUAGGUACUUAUACAGAAUCAAGGAACCCAAAUAAUAACUUCCGGCUAGCCAUUUUGGGUGAGAUCCUGGGUUGUUACAAAUGGUAUCAGAGCGGACCCGACCCAUAACUUAUGUGGACUAGGGGACACUGCAGCACGGAUCCAUUGGAGUUGACCACGGACCGAUCGUGGUGUUUGUGAUUAGAUUUGAAUGGAUUUGAACCCUUAGCCUGACGAGGACGUCAGGGCUUGAACGGGGGGAGUAUGUGAGGAUCCGUG
rnacentral:lncRNA from 1 species